rnacentral:rRNA from 1 species
UGCCAGCCGCCGCGGUAAUACGGAGGGUGCAAGCGUUGUUCGGAAUUACUGGGCGUAAAGCGCGCGUAGGCGGCUAUUUAAGUCAGAUGUGAAAGUCCACGGCUCAACCGUGGAAGUGCAUUUGAAACUGGAUGGCUUGAGUACUGGAGGGGGUGGUGGAAUUCCCGGUGUAGAGGUGAAAUUCGUAGAUAUCGGGAGGAAUACCGGUGGCGAAGGCGACCACCUGGCCGGUGACUGACGCUGAGACGCGAAAGCGUGGGGAGCAAACAGGAUUAGAUA